AUAAUAUGUACUUGCAUGUGGAAUGUCUUGUAGCCUUUCUUUCUCUUCUUUUUUUCAACCUAAAAAGCUAAUUCUUAAAGAUUGUAGGGCUUAUAUAUUACUUGAAUAAUUGUUCUUUUUAAUAGUUUGUGAGAAGAGAAUUAAUAUUUGACUAGGUAGAAUUAAUUAAUAGGUAUGGGGAAACAGGGUAUUCUUAGAUUAAUAAUUUAUGUACUUUUAGACUAUUUUCAAAUGCUAUGAGUUGUUGAUAGUAAAUGCAAUUAAUUGAAUUUUAAAUUGUUAGCAAAAUGAAUAACUUGAGUGAUUUUAUUUUUUUUUGGCCUGUCAGCAUUUUGUGCCCUGGUGUGUAAUUAUUCAAAACUGUCCCAUAUUUCCACUACAUAAGCAACUGUAUACAAGUUAUUUCUUCUGAGACAUUUUUAUACUGCAGUACACAUGUAUUUAUAAACAUUUGUUCCAAUUUUUAGGCAUUUUCUACUAUUUAUUAAACCAUAUAUUCUCUGAGACUUAAAAGUUUGUUAAAAAAAAUCUAAUUAUGUUCCACAUGUUCAAUUUAACUUAGUUUAUAAAAAUAACAAAAAAAUCUCUGGGGGCAAAUUUUUCAAAAUCACAAAUUAAUACUGUAUAUACUUCAAAUGCAAAACCACCAAAGAAUAAAAUUCAAAUAUCUUUUAAUAUUUACUAAAUCCCCAUUAAGGAUAUACUUUUACAUAUCAGCAGAUACCUAUGAUACACUGAAAUCAUUGAUUCUUGAUAGAUUAUGAAUGUUUUUCUCAGUAGAAUUAUAUUUCUUCUGGUACUUGGUAGACUAGCUUAUACCCAAUGGCUCAUCCUUCCUUCCUGGCUCCCAUUUAUCCCAUCCACAUUUCUUUAGAAAUUGUCCAUAAGCGUCAAGCCAAUAAGCCUAAUUUUGAAAAAUAACAGCUUAACAAUGUAACUAAGUUCUUCAUUUCCAAAGAUCUCUUCUUACUGUCAGCACUCAUUUGGACAAAUACAGCCCCUCUGAAAACAAAGAAUUUUAAAUUUUUACAAUGUUGUGAUUUAUGUUUUCGUAAAGAUAGCAACUCACUUGGCAGUUCAAUGGUAUGCAUUCUGUGCUCUCUUUGUUUGCUCUUGAUACUUAGUUUACAGCUAUCCUUAUGACUGUAAAAACAUCAUUUUGUGUAAUGCAAACAUUUUCAAAGGAAUAGGACUAAUAUUUCUUCAAAUCCUUUCCUUUUCAUCUUCCAUAAUCCCUGCAUGGUAAAUUAGUUGUGCAUAAUUGAUUAGACAUACCUACUGUGUGUCUUGCUGAUUCUAGAAGAUAUCUUUUUUUUCAAUUUAGCAUCCCCAAAAUUGUGACAUCUCCUGACAUUGUCAUCUACAGUGUAGCGCUUAAAGUUGUGUUGAGAUAAACACUAAACUAAUUAAUAUUCAUGGAUGCAGUCCUUUUCAUAUAAACGUUUAUAAAUUCGUUUGUGAUGGCUUGUGAAGCCAGUUUUUAACACAGCUGAACCAUGUACUAUAACUCAGUGCAGACCUAACUGGCUAUUGGCUCAGAUCCUUUGAAUCUUUCAGUUACAAAAGCUCUUUUAGGCUUCCAUUUAUACCUUCUGUUAAGAGCAGUGAUUUAGGCAAACUAAGUUUACUGAGGAAGUGUGCAGUUUCUUGAGCCUUCGCUUAACGAUCUUUAGCAUUCCCAUCCCUUUUGAAGGGAUUGUUUGAAACUAUCAUCUCACUUCUAAGUAAGUUAACUGGAAAAAAGAUUACAUGAAAACACCAUAGUUAGUUUUCACAGCACUUCCUAAGGUUGGUGUCAGUAGCCAUCUUGAAAAUAUUUCCCCUGAGAUCUCGCAACUUUCUCAUUUCUCCUUAUCCUUUAUGUGCGUUUGAUGCUUUCUUUGGCUCAAGUAACUUUUCCUCUCCAGCACAUGUGAUGACUGUCAAAAAAAAAAAACCCUGCAGUUAAAAUAUAGCAUUUUAUGUGAAACAAUUGUUCAACUCUCUGGGCAGCUUUGGAUGGACUAUGUGAGAGUAAUAACACUACUCUGUCUACCUGAAAUACCUUCCUGCAUAAAAUGUAUCUUUGUAAGCUACCUUUUUCAACCGGGUGUCUAUUCUUCACAACCAAUUUCAGUACAACUGUGUAACUCAUUGGCAUAAAAGAAGAAAAAAAAACACUGCAAUUAUCAAGGAUAGAAAUCAAGUGAUUUCUGACUUUACUGACUUUACACAUACAAAUGUGAUUCUGAAAACAUGUCUGCACAAUGACAAGUAUGGUACGUAGAUUUUUAUUGAAAUAUUGAGUAAAAUUAUUUUCAUUCUAAAUUAUAAGAAACUACAAAUUUGCACAUAUUAAUAUAGAAAUUCAUUUUGUGUAUAGUUAACAUAUGUUUAAAGCUAUUUUACAUGUACUAGCUUCUUUAUGAAGGUCUGUAAAUUUUACAAAAGCAAUUAGACAUGUUUUAAAAUCAAUAACAGUCUUUGACUUAACAAAUACUGCCUUUGUAAAAACAUUUAAUAUAGAAUGUAUUUUUAAAUCAAGAUAUUUGAAUAUAAAAUAGCUCAAAGAGAAACAAAUUCUUCAUGAACACAUUUUGUGUUGUUUCUGGCUUUGAUUAUAUGAAAGGUGAAAUUGCCUUAAAUAAGGAAGAUUGGUAAAUAUGACAAUUUCACGUACUAUACUAUGAAUCUCUUUGCGUAACUGGUUGACUACUAACGUUUAUGUAUUUAUUAAAAGCUGACACUGUAGAUUGUUGUGAGAUGUUUAUUUUUCUAACAGAACUUAUCACAGUUGUGACAAGGCAUUUAAUUGAUAUACCAGUCUGUUUAAAUGUAGGCGUUAAUUGAUAUAAAAUUCUAUGUUUUAAAACAAAACUUUAAAGAUCUAAUAAAAACAUAAAGAAUAUA
rnacentral:lncRNA from 1 species